rnacentral:rRNA from 1 species
GACGAACGCUAGCGGCGUGUUUGAAACAUGCAAGUCGAACGGAGCAGAGCUCUUCGGAGCUUUGUCGAGUGGCGAACGGGUGCGUAACACGUAAAGAACCUACCCUUUAGCGGGGGAUAGCCCUGGGAAACCGGGGGUAAUACCGCAUGAGCAGAAAAGAGCGCAUGUUCAUUUCUGGAAAGGCUGCGGGUAACUGCAGUCACUGAAGGAAGGCUUUGCGGCCUAUCAGGUAGUUGGUGGGGUGAUAGCCUACCAAGCCAAAGACGGGUAGCUGGUC